rnacentral:lncRNA from 1 species
GCUCUAUUACGUAAGACUCACUAUAAGAGAUAGAAAAAUAUGUAUUUAUAAUAGAAGCAUUGUACUAGAUGCAAACCAGAUGCUCCGCAGGGCGCAGCUUUAUACGACCGCAGAGGUUGAACCCUGAACGGUUGGGGCAAGUAUGGACACAACAUUCAAGAUGGAUUCAGCUCUAAAUUUGGAUUGUGAUUAAAUAGUUGACACAGCAUAUGUUUCUGACACAGAA